rnacentral:tRNA from 1 species
CGGGUGUAGUUUAGUGGUAAAACGCCGGCUUCCCAAGCCUGAGUUACGGGUUCGAUUCCCGCCAUCCG